UAAUUAUAGGUUUAUGCUGAAUUGAAACAUAUAUAUAGACUUUAAAAAAAAUCUUGCAUCUUUCGGGAGAUAUUAAUCCAGGAAAGUGGAAGGAUAUCUUGUUUCCUGGAAGUGGUGCAGCCUAGGAAAAACAGCAAACAGAAAGUAGGAAAAAAAUGUUUUGACUUCAGGAUUACGUAACUUUUUAUUCUUCGUGGCAUGACCCACUUUUUUUCGAUUAAAUCACAAUUUCACAUUAGUACAUACAUGAUAUUAACGUGAAUUUUUUUUUCUAUGUAGCAUUUUUUAUUUUUUUAUUUUCA
rnacentral:lncRNA from 1 species